rnacentral:rRNA from 1 species
CGCCCUUGAGUUUGAUCAUGGCUCAGAGCGAACGCUGGCGGCAGGCCUAACACAUGCAAGUCGAGCGGCCGUAGCAAUACGGCAGCGGCAGACGGGAGAGUAACACGUGGGAACGUGCCCUUUGGUUCGGAAUAACUCGGCGAAAGCCGUGCUAAUACCGGAUAAGCCCUUACGGGGAAAGAUUUAUCGCCAUUGGAGCGGCCCGCGUCUGAUUAGCUAGUUGGUGAGGUAACGGCUCACCAAGGCGACGAUCAGUAGCUGGUCUGAGAGGAUGAUCAGCCUCACUGGGACUGAGACACGGCCCAGACUCCUACGGGAGGCAGCAGUGGGGAAUAUUGGACAAUGGGCGCAAGCCUGAUCCAGCCAUGCCGCGUGGAUGAUGAAGGCCUUAGGGUUGUUUUUUCCUUUUAACGGGGAAGAUAAUGACGGUACCCGUAGAAUAAGCCCCGGCUAACUUCGUGCCAGCAGCCGCGGUAA